rnacentral:rRNA from 1 species
GCCAUGCAUGUCUAAGUAUAAGCCCUUGUACGGCGAAACUGCGAAUGGCUCAUUAAAACAGUUAUCGUUUAUUUGAUAAUCACUUACUACAUGGAUAACUGUAGUAAUUCUAGAGCUAAUACAUGCGUCAAUGCCCAACUUCACGGAAGGGUUGCAUUUAUUAGAUACAAAACCAACCCGGGGUUCGCCUCGGAACCGUUGGUGAUUCAUAAUAACUAAGCGAAUCGCAUAGGCUUGCCUGGCGAUAGAUCUUUCAAGUUUCUGACCUAUCAGCUAUCGACGGUAGGGUAUUGGCCUACCGUGGCUAUGACGGGUAACGGAGAAUUAGGGUUCGAUUCCGGAGAGGGAGCCUGAGAAACGGCUACCACAUCUAAGGAUGGCAGCAGGCGCGCAAAUUACCCAAUCCUGACACAGGGAGGUAGUGACAAGAAAUAACAAUGCAGGGCUUCACAGUCUUGCAAUUGGAAUGAGUAGAUUUUAAAUCACUCUACGAGUAACAAUUGGAGGGCAAGUCUGGUGCCAGCAGCCGCGGUAAUUCCAGCUCCAAUAGCGUAUAUUAAAGUUGUUGCGGUUAAAAAGCUCGUAGUUGAAUUUCUGCCAAGGACGACCUACCCACCUUAGGGUGCGUGUCAGUGUUGACCGCGGCAUCCUCCUAGAUGCGUCCGUACUUAACUGUGCGGUUCGUGCUAGGACUUUUACUUUGAGGAAAUUAGAGUGUUUCAAGCAGGCUUUCGCCUUGAAUAAUUUAGCAUGGAAUAAUAAUUUAGGACUUCGGUUCUAUUUUGUUGGUUUCUGGAACU